UGCAGUCGAGCGGACAGAAGGGAGCUUGCUCCCGGAUGUUAGCGGCGGACGGGUGAGUAACACGUGGGUAACCUGCCUGUAAGACUGGGAUAACUCCGGGAAACCGGAGCUAAUACCGGAUAGUUCCUUGAACCGCAUGGUUCAAGGAUGAAAGACGGUUUCGGCUGUCACUUACAGAUGGACCCGCGGCGCAUUAGCUAGUUGGUGGGGUAAUGGCUCACCAAGGCGACGAUGCGUAGCCGACCUGAGAGGGUGAUCGGCCACACUGGGACUGAGACACGGCCCAGACUCCUACGGGAGGCAGCAGUAGGGAAUCUUCCGCAAUGGACGAAAGUCUGACGGAGCAACGCCGCGUGAGUGAUGAAGGUUUUCGGAUCGUAAAGCUCUGUUGUUAGGGAAGAACAAGUGCGAGAGUAACUGCUCGCACCUUGACGGUACCUAACCAGAAAGCCACGGCUAACUACGUGCCAGCAGCCGCGGUAAUACGUAGGUGGCAAGCGUUGUCCGGAAUUAUUGGGCGUAAAGGGCUCGCAGGCGGUUUCUUAAGUCUGAUGUGAAAGCCCCCGGCUCAACCGGGGAGGGUCAUUGGAAACUGGGAAACUUGAGUGCAGAAGAGGAGAGUGGAAUUCCACGUGUAGCGGUGAAAUGCGUAGAGAUGUGGAGGAACACCAGUGGCGAAGGCGACUCUCUGGUCUGUAACUGACGCUGAGGAGCGAAAGCGUGGGGAGCGAACAGGAUUAGAUACCCUGGUAGUCCACGCCGUAAACGAUGAGUGCUAA
rnacentral:rRNA from 1 species